UUAGAAAGUAGGAAAGAGAAAACACACAGAGAAUGGGAAAGUCACACAGAAGUUACAUGGUAGAUCAGCUGCGGGCAAAGAGAGAAAAUCAUGAGACUCAGUGCAACACUACCCUGCAGACAAACACAAACGGAAUUCAAGAACAUGUAUGUGUUGCUGCUUUCCCUGUGGGAUCAGUUGUGGCUACGUUAGCCCUAAAGAUCGUCAUGAUCUUCCUCCACGUGCACCUGCAGAUCUCAAACAGCUCGUCCUGCAUCUCUGCAGAUUGGUUGGAAGUUGGAAUCUCAGGUUGGAGAUGGUGAGUCCAGGCUUUUAUAGCCCGGUCAGAGCAGGCAGGGAAGGAAACGCCCUACGCAGAAAAACUCCUCUGGAACUUUUCAGGAAACAUCCAAUCAACGACGGGCUCUACCAGCCGGAACUCUGUGGUCUCAGAGGACAAGAAGCAGAUGUAAGAGGUCUCCUCAUAGACCUCCCAUACCCAACACAGCUUCAUCUCCAGGAUGAUCAGCCCCUGCUGUGCCCAUGACCCAGGCAGGUUUGCUUCCUCUCAGACUCAGCCCUUUUUACUGAGCACCACCUGCAGGAGGCUCUGCCAAGCAGGGAAGACUUGAAGUCACCAGCCUGCACAGGUUGGCCAACAAGCCAUCCUACCAGUGAGCCCGCAGGGGGUUCUUUCUGGGGACAGGAGGCUUUGCUCUGUAAGAGAGAAAAAAAAAGUCUUCUGGACAUACCAGCCAAUUUCAAGAAAGCUUUGAGCACACACUGUAAGCAGAACUUCAAACCUGUUCCAAUUUUAUUUUUGCCUUCCCUCCCUCAAACAUAAACUGAGUUUGCAGCACCAAAGUAUCAUCACUACUGGUCUACUCCUCAUCUCAGGUUUGGAUCAACCACUCUCACAACAGGGAUGACACUACCCAACUAAGUGAUACUAGAUAUUUAGAAAUGCAGAACAAGUGAGGCAGCCUGGAGAUUUAAACUUGGGUUGCCAGAACUUACACCUUACAGCUCCAUCAAUAUUUUUAAAGCUAACCAAAAGCUUGUUUUCAAAGGUUGUCUGAGCACAACACAAGUGUAAAAACAAAUCAGAGCCUGUAGUUCUCUGGUCUAGAAGAAAGAGGUGGAUGUGUCACCACAGGAGUCAUCGAGGAACAAGUCUGACAGGUUCCAUUCAGUGUGACAUCCUCAUGUCCCUAAAAAAAAGUAAUUCAGGCCUUGACUUCCAACGUGUCAGGUUGGAAGCUCCACUCAGCUAAAGAACAAACAAGCUUCAGUUAUACUCAGCAUGAGAAAAAUAGUCAUCUUUACACUUGCCCAAAAGGGAGGGGAAUAAGCCCAGGUUCUUGCCUAGACAGUAAUACUGGAAACUUAAGUCCUUAAAACAUCAUGUGCCCUUUGCCACCUUUCCUUUUGCCCUAGACUGGUCUCCCUCACCUACCUUCUGCAGUUAAUACAUGUAGUAGUAUCUGUUCCUAUCAGUUGCAGCAGUUCCUAUCUAUGUGGCAGUACAAGAUUUUUAGGCUACAAGGACCCCAGAUUGGCAGUGGGGGUUGAGAGCACCAGUGUGAGUGGGAACCAUCUCCAAGCCCAUGUCCACAAUUUGAUUGAGUUAUCUGUUAAUGAUAAAACUGCAGAGAAGGAAGAAGGAACAUGGACAGAGAAGAGGUCCUCACUUGUUUUUUUCUGGCUUUUCUUACAGACCAUAAAGCAGGAAGGAGCUUUAAACACAGCCUGGGAGUCUUGAUGAAGCUCUCCAGUGGAAGCUCUCCAUCCUGCUCUUCAACCAGAGCAAGGGGAGCUGGUCCAUACCAAGAACAGAAGAAGUACCCACAUCAUCAAGCACCCUGUGGCAUUUCUCCCAUUCACCCCCUGCUCCAGCAGACAGCCCAGGCUCCAGUGCCACACAGUACACCUGGGCAGCAUCCCAACCAUCCAUCUAUCAAGCCAUGGAGAUAUGAGGCAAGCCCAACAAUGUGCAGCACUUCUAGGGCAGUAUACUUGCUGAUUGCUUCCUUGACUAUUGUUCACAACAACCAGCUAAGACACUGCCAAAGAAACACUCACAGCUGGCAUCACAUGAGGAGGGAAGCUAGGGCAGGUUGGUCAAGUUCUUCCUCUUCCCAUUCACAGAAGGCAAGAGUCUGGGGACAAACAAAGAGUCAACGAAGCAAUAGCAGCAGUACUGAAGGAAACAACUUUCAAGGGAGAAGAGGCUCAAAACCAUGAAUUGACAAUUACUCUGUCCCUUAGGCCCAAUCUUGGUUCAGACCUCUAAGAAUUACUAAUAUUAAACAAGAAAAACCCACCUUCCUUGUCCACAAUCCAUAUGUAUCUCAGUGAGCUCCCAGGUGUCACACACUAGCAGUCAGGAAGCACAGUGGCACAAUCAGGUGUUUCCAGAUGCUUAAAAGGGUAAGACACAAAACUUGAAACUCUGUGGGUUCACUUGGCUGCACAGCUUUGUUCUUAGGUAACAUAGGAUGUGUUAGAAAGAGAACCCACUAGAACACCAUCCCCUGCAAAACAAAUGAAAAAGGAUCAAUACUUAUUUGCACUAAAGCCAAUUGACUUUCCUACUACACACGUGGAACAGGCUGAGACACACAAGACAGGGUGUUAUCUAGCAUUCCUGCAGUCCUCGCCUGGAAACACAUGAACAUGUGACAAGUCAACCUUCAGGGCAAAGCAAUUCUUAACUCUUGCAUCACAGCCUCCAGAGCAGGUUAUUGCUCAGGGGUCUCUCAUGCAACAAUGAAGUUUAAAAGUAAAACAUACUGCAGGACUAGAAGUUCACUGCCUCCCAUUUCUUUCAGUGGCAACUUGACAUCAGUGUACUCUGAGACAUCCAAGCCUUCUAUUGCUGAUGUGCUAGGUUAGAAAUUGAAAAUCUCAGGAAUUUGUUUUUUGUUUGGAUAGCAAGACAGAGCUAACACUCAAUUGUUUCUUGCUCUCACCCCAUUUUCCUCGCAGCAAAACUGUAUUUCAUCUUCCAAGGGGUUACCAGAAACAUGCCAAGAAAAGCAUGAGCACCAACUGAAAGGCAAGGAUUGAAACACUUCAAGAAAAGCAGAUGUUAAACCCCCCCAGCUCCUGCCCAUCACUGAGUCUUCAGAAAGGCCAGCAACUGGGUGCUCUAAGCUUUUUCAAAAGACAAUAACCCAACCCAAACCUGGUUGGUUUAUUGCAAGAGUCACGAUAAAGUUCAGUGGCUUCUAUUGCAGAGAUGCAGGUGAAGGGAAAAGCUCAUGUCCUCUGUACUAUCUGAGACUGACAGAGGUGACAUGCAGUGCACAUCAGUCAAAGCAGCACAGGAGAGGACAGCAAAUACCCACCAGGCACCAUGAUACAGAACCUGGGCUCCAUUCCCUGAGUCCCAGGAGACAGCACCAGCUCAUCAAAUAAAUCACUUCUUGACUGUAACCUUUUCACCCUAAGGAAAAAAACCAGACAAUUCCAAUACAUCAAAAUGAAGACUUGACAACAGUACCCACCACCUUGCCCUGAAAAUGUGUCCCACUCUGGAACUAGCUGGCUUGUUUAAACAAUGACCUAACCAUCCCUCCAACAUUUCCCAUCAGGAUCAGAACAAACCAGACUAUCUCAAAGGCAAUUAACAGGUCAGGGACAAGCACAGCUAUAGGAGAGCAAAACAAUCUGGUGCAGAAGAGGAAGAUACUACUUCAUCUUUCAUCCUCCUCUGGGGACAUACAGACUGCAGAAUUGCUGUUUUGGGAACUGUAAAACUCUCCUUUGAGCCACUACAAAUUAAGCAUGACAGGGCCUGGGAAGAGAUGCUUUUGGGAACAACCUUGUAUCACUGCAGCAAGAUAAUGGUUUCAAAAAUUAAAAGCAGAACCAUUUUAGCUCCCCUCAGCUGCUUGCUGCCAGUAAGGAUUCCUAGUGCUUUUGGAAAGGAGGAACAAGUCAUCCAGCUGAAACUGCUUAACACUGAGAGAACAAGGAGUAGCAAAACCACCCUUGUGUUUAAGCCUCACAGGAAGGGCAGCCCCAGGAAAUACCUGCUCAACACCCAGUGUAGAAAAGAGAGUCCUCAUGCCGCAAUCAGUGCUGCUGAGCUGCUCCAGACACACCUCCUGAAGCCUGCAGCUGCAAGGGGCCAGCAUCUUGGAUGCAAAUGUAUGUCUCAACUGGAUCUAAUCCAUCAAGUCCUGCUUCUGGCAGUCAUCUCAGUAAAUCUAGUCAAUAUCUAUUAAAUUAGUGCAGCUCAUUAUGUUUUUUCAUGGCACAGUCUAAGAAUUCAACUGAACAGGGACUGCUGCACUAGGCACAGCACAGAGAUACAGCAGAACACAUCCCUACCCCUGAGGAGUUUAUUCUCCACUCACAUUAACAACUGUGCUGCAUGAGACAAGAUAUUAAUUCUUUCUCCCAAUUCACUGCAGAGUAACCUUAGAAAAAACUCAUCUUCCCCUGAUAAGGACAAAAAACUUCAUGGUAUUAAGUACAAAUGAAACCUCAUCACAGGUAUGUAUGCAGGAGCAUCCUUCUCCACCCUUCCCAUUGGUGUACCUGGAGAGAACAGACAAGCUGCCACUCUAAGCUUUUAGCUGGAAAAAUUUACUGGGAUUGUGCCUUUAUGGGAAGCAUUCUGCUUUAGAGAAUUGUCUACAAGGAAUUAGCCUAUAAAUCACUACUAUAAACCAACAAGCUGAUGGGUGUGGAGGAUGACAGUGCUCUCCUGUUACAGAAAUACUGCAUUCCAAGAAAGGGAAGAAGUCCUGUCAGGUAAGAUCUGCAGCAACCACCCUGUUUUCACUGAAGUAUGUGAUACCAUAAGCUUCAUUUCACUAAGCACAUUUAUUUCCAGUUCAUUCCCAGUGAUGACACAACACUGGCAUAAGUGCAGUUUCAAGCUAUGACUGACCUAGUCACAAUCCUUGAGUUAGCACCUGAAGAAUCACACAGUUUCACCAAGGAUUUGAACUCCUGCAGGAAGACUGAUGCAAACAGAUCUUCUCUCCCUGGAAGCUUCAAGUCCUUCCUGUUGUAAGGCAAAACAAAGCUGAAUUUUCAUCUCUGAAAUUUGUCAGUGAAACUCAGCAGCAGGAGAAAGCUGGAAUUAAAUGAAAGUUCAGGAAGAUUUAGUUUGGAAGAGACUCCUGGGGAUGAGCUAGUUCAACUGCCUAUUCUAAACAAGGCUAACUUCUAACUAGAUCAGGGUGCUCAAUUCCUUUUACACAGUUUUAUUCAACCCUAUUUCUAAACCACAGAAUCAGGAACAAUGUCUAGCUGAGACUGUUACACUUAGAAGGAUGAACUGGCAUCCCAGAGAAAAAUCACCAUAAAGCAAUGCCAAAGCACUAGUGGUGGUUGCAGAGCAAGAACAAAUUCACUCCUUCCUCCCCACAAAGGUGUCAGUCUUUUCUAUUACAAACUUUCAGGUAGGAGAGGAAGUGUCCUGCCUCUGCAAACACAGAUUUCAUUAUUUAUGACCUUACAGACAAGUUUCCCUUCUUAAGGUAAGAAUACAUUAAAUAGAUUCUGAGUUUGGUUUGAUACAAGUCCUGUGAUACUUGGAUCCUGUGGUUUGGGUUAAUCUCCAAAAAUGUUCAAACUAGUGCUGUAUUAUCCCAUCUUCCAUUGCAACUCCUGCAAAGUGCCACCAAGCCAACCAGAAAAUGGUUCUAGGUUAUGAAUCUUAGUAAUGUUUAAUAAGAAUUGUUAUCAUACUUGUCCUGUCACUCUCUUCUCCUCCAAACUCCCCCUAGCAUCCCGAUUCCCCAAAUACAGGACACAAGCUGCUGAACAACAACUGUUGGCCUUUUUUUAUUAAUCAUGCAGCACAAACCUCCCUUAGGAGAUGCAUUAACACGACCUUAGACAGGAAACAUAUUUACCAGUUUCUUACAGCUCUGCGGCAGGAGAUGAUCCAGCUGGCUGUGGUACCCGAGGUCCAUCUCAGCUCCCGGGUGACCCCAGGUUUCUGCUGCUGGGGCUGACACACUGCAAACAAGCUGAGGACUGGCCCCAGAGCAGUGCAGACACCUGCUUCAUCCCUCAGCCUCACUGCAGACUCAGUUCCUGCUUUCUUGGUACAGCUCUGACUCCACCCCACGUCCUGACACCACUCCUUGCAGACCAACCUCACUGCUAACAAGGAAAUGGGACAAUACCUUUGCAGUGAGUCACAGGCUGCCUAAAACAAAGCAGAACAAAGAAAUGAUAGACAGUAUUAGCAGUUCUUUUCUGUAAAACACAAAGGCAAGAACCACACAAAAUAGGUAAGGGACAGAAUGGCAGGGGGAAGACAGAGCCCUGCUUUGAGACUGGUUGGCACUUCUACCUGUAACACAGUUUCACUCCCACCCCUGCUGAUUUCCAGCUAGUCCCUCAGCUCAGAGGGAUACAGCCACUUGGGUAACAGGCUAUUUUCAUCUCAUUGCAGGUGACAAGUGAAAAAGUAACAGCAGUUUUGUAGCCCUGGGAUCAGGUUGCAGGUGACAGCCAGAUCUGCUCUCAGGAGCUUCUUGCCACAAACAUUCCUGCACUCCAAGAAGCACAAAAGCACCAAGACAAAACAGGGAAAAUCUGGGAAGCUCAGGUUAUUGCAAAACUGGGAUCACCAGGACUGCUGUCACUCAAUCACCUACUCCAAGAAAUACAAACACAAAAAUCCCAUAAAACAUGGUAGAGUUAAGGAUAGUAUGAAAAAAAUCUAGAGCAACCAUCUCCUCCCAUUUGUUAAAAGACAUAUUUAAGAUCUACCACAUCUCACCGAAGUGAAUCUUCAUUUGGGAUCUCAUUGGGCCUGCUAAUAUCACUGAGUCAAGCAAUAUUAAAAUCCUCAUAUCAAAACAAGAUAAAGCCAUGGAAUUGAUAUACACAGCACUUCCUGAAUUUCUCCACAUACUGUGCAGUGAGAAACACACACAGAACAGACUCGUGCCUUCUUCCACAGCAGCUAAAGAAUUCAUUCUUUGCCAGACUCAGUGCUACUUCUUCCUUGCUUUCAGAUUUCAUUUUGCUUUUUACAUGAAGACAAGCAAAAAAAAAAGGCCUUCUGCUCUCUGCAUUCUAGUAAACGCUGUUCUUCCUCUUUUAUUAACAGUAUUUAAGAAAGUUUUAA